rnacentral:rRNA from 1 species
CCUACGGGAUGCAGCAGUGGGGAAUUUUGCGCAAUGCUCGUAAGAGUGACGCAGCGACGCCGCGUGAAUGACGAAGGCCUUCGGGUCGUAAAGUUCUUUCGACAGGGAAGAAAAUGCCUAUAAGUAACUGUGUAUGUAUUGACGGUCCCUGUAUAAGCAGCCCCGGCUAACUCCGUGCCAGCAGCCGCGGUAAUACGGAGGGGGCGAGCGUUGUUCGGAGGGACUGGGCGUAAAGAGCACGUAGGCGGUGUUGUAAGUCAUUAGUCAAAGACUAGAGCUCAACUUUAGUAAGGCUAGUGAUACUAUAAUACUAGAGUAUCAGAGAGGAUUGCAGAAUUCCUGGUGUAGCGGGGAAAUGCGUAGAUAUCAGGAGGAAUACCGUUAGCGAAGGCGGCAAUCUGGCUGGAAACUGACGCUGAGGUGCGAAAGCGUGGGUAGCAAACAGGAUUAGAUACCCGGGUAGUC